GUGUCAGCAGCCGCGGUAAGACAGAGGUGCCGAGCGUUAGGCGGAAUCACUGGGCUUAAAGCGUGUGUAGGCGGACCGUUAAGUACCUUGUGAAAUCCCCCGGCUCAACCGGGGAACGGCUGGGUAUACUGGCGGUCUUGAGCCAUCCAGGGGCAGUCGGAACAGACGGUGGAGCGGUGAAAUGCGUAGAUAUCGUCUGGAACGCCGAAGGUGAAAACAGACUGCUGGGGAUGCGCUGACGCUGAGACACGAAAGCCAGGGGAGCGAACGGGAUUAGAUACCCUGGUAGUCC
rnacentral:rRNA from 1 species